CAGGGUAUAGCUAAAUUAGUAUAGCAUCUCCCCUACACCGAGAAGACAUUCGUGCAAAUCGAGUUACCCUGAC
rnacentral:tRNA from 1 species